rnacentral:rRNA from 1 species
CAGUCGCCGCGGGAAUACGUAGGUCCCGAGCGUUGUCCGGAUUUAUUGGGCGUAAAGCGAGCGCAGGCGGUUAGAUAAGUCUGAAGUUAAAGGCUGUGGCUUAACCAUAGUACGCUUUGGAAACUGUUUAACUUGAGUGCAAGAGGGGAGAGUGGAACUCCAUGUGUAGCGGUGAAAUGCGUAGAUAUAUGGAGGAACACCGGUGGCGAAAGCGGCUCUCUGGUCUGUAACUGACGCUGAGGCUCGAAAGCGUGGGGAGCAAACAGGAUUAGAUACCCGCGUAGUCCCUGUCUCUUAUACA